GUUGAACACACAUACAACAAGGUCUUUAUAUUUAAUGCAGUCUAUUUGCAGAAAACUGAAUUAUUCAAUUAGGAGUCAGUAUUUGCAUUAUUCACCUUAUGACUACAUAAUUAAAUAUGAAGGGAAGAGAAGGACUAAUCUGUAGUGAUUAAGACCGAGGAACUAAAACUGGGCUGUUUUGGCUGUCUCGGUUGAAUUCUUUGAAGACUCUGAAUUACUUUAAGGAUCGCUGUCAGCCUUGUAUCCUUGUCGUAUCUUUUAAAUAUUUGCUCUGUGACUUUGUUGGUGGCUGAUUUGAUUUCAUGGCAAUAAUGGAUAACGUGUAGUCAGAAUCUGAUUCAGGAAAGACAUCACGGGAAAUGACUAGGAAAUCAGAAGACAGCAGAGGGAGUGAAAAUUACCCUCUUCCGGUAUAAGAAUAGCAGUUGGGCGCUGUGGUAGAUUAUAAUUCCACUAGGGAGAAAGUUUAUUCGAUAAAAUCUCAGUGUCAUACAGUAAUAUACAAUAAAAAUACGGAUAUGGGACUCACUUAAGGCUCUGUCAUUCGAAUAAGUACAGUUUAUAUCUUUUAACAAGGAGUAAUUCGAGGGCAAGUGUACAUCCAGCUGUCGAAGUAAAUUCAACUCCAAAAGUGCAUAUUAAAGGUGCUACAGUUGCAAACCCUGUAGUUUGAAUUGGGAUUCUCCGUUCUGUACUUGUUAACCGUUUGAAUUAAGAUCAGAACUUGUAUUUGGUUCUGUGAAGUGGCUGUGCAGUCUUUCAGGGAUCUGUUUUAACGGCUACUGGAGGAGGCAGGUGGGCUUGUCUCCCCAGUCGUUUUAUUAGCAUACCGAAGAAUGUCUUUAAAUGGGUGUCAGGAGUGGAAGGUAUCUUUAUUUUGAACAAAUUUUAAUGUUCAAGGCACGCCUUUGUGCCUAGAAUUUCUAACAUAGAAUAAUGAAGUGGGAAUUUGGAUUUCUUUUGUUCGCUUUCUGAUCUGAAUUAAUUUUUUAGAGGGCAGGGAGUGGCAUAUGUAUGGCAGUGUUAGAGAAGUUCUAGGAUGAACACUAGACGGACUCUCAGUGGAAGCAUUUGUCAAUGAUUUUUCUAAUGAUCUCAAACGAAAGUCAGAGUUUUGAUGACAGUCAGAUACCAUCGUAUUUCUGACCGUAAACAUUGCCGACUGACUAUCCACAAUGAUUCUCUAACUGACAUUGAAUGUCUUACUAAGGGUUAGUCAAGAAUAUG
rnacentral:ncRNA from 1 species